GGAGUUAUUUAAUUAUUAUUUUAUUACAAAAAGGCGAAUGUCACUUUUUGUGUUCCUUUGAGAGUUGUUGUGGUUUUUAGUUAAGAAGUCCGCUAUUAUGGCGCUGAUAUGAUUUUUAUUUUAAAAUGAUUGAUAACCUGGUUAUUGUGUCUUGCUUAUAUUUUGAUGUUAUUAUUUAUGCAAACUUUGUUUUGGAGUGUGGCUCCACUUUGCUUUAUAUCCUGAAUGUAAGUUAUUGUUGUAUUAGGGACUAUUUUCUUGUGCGUAGCAUUGGUUUCUUUGUUCGUAGUAUUGGUUUCUUUGUUCGUGAAUGUGGGGUGUCGACAGGGAGGGACAUUCUGCUGGAAUGUCGAGGCCUGUGUGUUGAAGAGUUUCUGUGUCACGUUUGUGGUGUAUGGUAACGUAGGGUUAUUUUUAUAGUGUUUUAUUAUGUUUUCCAUAUUUUUGUUUGCUUAUUUUGUAUACAAAGUGACUAUAUACUAGAUCUAUUUAGUCACUUCGACUUUGAGAAGUCUCAAUGUUUGUUUUAUCCAGACCACGUGGUAGCACGAUGGCCUGGGUUUAGUCAUGGAUUAAUGUAGAUUUUACUUUCAUUUAUGAGAGCCUCUUGUUUAGGCUGACAAUUGUGUCAACUUCUUAGUGCCUUGUAUAUAACUUUUUAUGUAAAGUAAUUAAUUUAUUUGUUUUCCUCUUUCUAGGACGGUGGUCCGAAAUUGGGUGUUAUGUUUCGUUGAGUUCUGUUUGUUUUGUAUGUCCUGAGUGUUUUGUUUUGUCUAGAUCUAGAUUCUAGUUUUUUUAUAAUAAUUUUGGUUCCAUGAAAUAAAUUUUAUAUUAUUGUUAAAGUUUUUCUGUUUUUUUUUUAAUUUAGACUAAGGUUAGGGUUUAACCACUGUGGGUUCUACCACGGUUGCACUGACCGGACAGCUUAGUUAGUUAGAUAAGCCUAGAAGGGUAGAUUUUAGGUAUCCCCCCCCCCCUAGCAGGGCUUACAAAUUGGUAGCACGAGUGGGGUCAGUGCUUUAGUCUAGCUAAAUUUUUGUUUUUCUGUUAGAGCUAGUGUAGCUUAGAUAAAUUUUUGUUUUUGAUAGGCCCUUUUUGGAACCAUAUGUGUUUAGUUUUUUUGUGUUUAGUGUAGGGAUUGUUUAAACACCCAAUUCGGACGAGAUGGCGGGGCACCCGAUGAACAUCAUUAUUGUGCCACCCAGAGAGGUUAAAAUCCAGAGGUUCCAUGGAGACAGCCAUGCCUCGUUGGUGGAACGUUUCAUUGAAGAGGUGCAGGUUGCAUGGAGGGCGAGGAAAGACCUCUCUGCUGAAGAAAGAAAAGACCUCCUCUGGGAGCACCUUGGGGAGUCUGUUAAAGAGGAGCUCCGAUGUAGGGGCAAUGAUCUGGAGCAGGACCCUGAGGCAACUUUAAUACUCCUGAGGGACAUUUACGGGGAAAAGCGUAGCAUCCCCCAACUGAUGGCCCAGUUUCAAAGGGUGGUGCAAAGCCCAAAUGAGACAGUGAGGUCUUAUUCACACCGUCUGCACCAAGCCUUUAGGUUGCUCACAGCCAGGCAAACAAACCUGCACAGGGCCCCUGUGAGUCCAGUCUUCCUGCGAGACCAGUUUGUUCAGAACCUUAACCAACCCUCUGUUAGGCGUCAGCUGGAAGAAAUGGUCUUCUGUGACCAAAAGGCGUCAUUUAUUGUCCUGAGGGAUGCGGCUAUCAGGUGGGCACAGGACGAAUGCCCAGGCAGAGAAUCUAAGAGUGUUACAACUUUAAACACCAGGCCUGAUGUGCAAACAUUUGCACCUCCCACUACAUCCAACCUGGAGGACAGAGUAGACAAUUUGGCAGCACAAAUCUCUAGUAUUUCUGCUCUCGUUUCCCCAAGGGGAACGCGGUUUGCACCCGACAAGCAGAGACCGACUGUGAGGAGCAGGUCCUGCUUCAAAUGUCACCAGCUGGGCCACAUAGCCAGUAACUGUUAUGGCAACAUAAUAAUGUAUCCCGCUUUUAAUCUGUUCAUCUAUUUUUUUAACAUUGUUCUGUUCACAUGUCUGGUAUCUGCAUUUUUGAAUUUUUAUUGCUUGCAGGUACUGCAAGCUUUACAGGGGGUGAAUGUAAGGGGCUGGGGAGUUAUUUAAUUAUUAUUUUAUUACAAAAAGGCGAAUGUCACUUUUUGUGUUCCUUUGAGAGUUGUUGUGGUUUUUAGUUAAGAAGUCCGCUAUUAUGGCGCUGAUAUGAUUUUUAUUUUAAAAUGAUUGAUAACCUGGUUAUUGUGUCUUGCUUAUAUUUUGAUGUUAUUAUUUAUGCAAACUUUGUUUUGGAGUGUGGCUCCACUUUGCUUUAUAUCCUGAAUGUAAGUUAUUGUUGUAUUAGGGACUAUUUUCUUGUGCGUAGCAUUGGUUUCUUUGUUCGUAGUAUUGGUUUCUUUGUUCGUGAAUGUGGGGUGUCGACAGGGAGGGACAUUCUGCUGGAAUGUCGAGGCCUGUGUGUUGAAGAGUUUCUGUGUCACGUUUGUGGUGUAUGGACGGUGGUCCGAAAUUGGGUGUUAUGUUUCGUUGAGUUCUGUUUGUUUUGUAUGUCCUGAGUGUUUUGUUUUGUCUAGAUCUAGAUUCUAGUUUUUUUAUAAUAAUUUUGGU